rnacentral:rRNA from 1 species
GUUAGGAAUAUUGGACAAUGGGCGCAAGCCUGAUCCAGCCAUGCCGCGUGAGUGAUGAAGGCCUUCGGGUUGUAAAGCUCUUUAGCCGAUGAUUAUAAUGACUGUAGUCGGAAAAUAAGCCCCGGCUAACUUCGUGCCAGCAGCCGCGGUAAUACGAAGGGGGCGAGCGUUAUUCGGAAUCACUGGGCGUAAAGCGUGCGUAGGCGGCUUUGCAAGUUGGGAGUGAAAGCCCAGGGCUCAACCCUGGAAUUGCUUUGAAAACUGCAAGGCUUGAAGUCGGGAGAGGAUAGCGGAAUUGUCAGUGUAGCAGUGAAAUGCGUAGAUAUUGACAGGAACACCAGUGGCGUAGGCGGCUAUCUGGACCGAUAUUGACGCUGAGGCACGAAAGCGUGGGGAGCAAACAGGAUUAGAUACCCCAGUAGUCC